rnacentral:rRNA from 1 species
UACAGAGGGUGCGAGCGUUGUCCGGAAUCACUGGGCGUAAAGGGCGCGUAGGUGGCCCGACAAGUCUGUGGUGAAAGCUCGACGCUCAACGUCGAGUCGGCCAUAGAUACUGUUGGGCUGGAGCACUGUAGAGGCUCAUGGAAUUCCCGGUGUAGCGGUGAAAUGCGCAGAUAUCGGGAAGAACACCCGUGGCGAAGGCGGCACUCGUGGGACGGUACUGACGCUGAGACGCGAAAGCGUGGGGAGCGAACGAGG